rnacentral:rRNA from 1 species
GAUAAACGCUGGCGGCGCACAUAAGACAUGCAAGUCGAACGGACUUAACUCAUUCUUUUAGAUUGAGAGCGGUUAGUGGCGGACUGGUGAGUAACACGUAAGCAACCUGCCUAUUAGAGGGGAAUAACAGUGAGAAAUCAUUGCUAAUACCGCAUAUGCUAACAGUAUCGCAUGAUACAGUUAGGAAGGAGCAAUCCGCUAAUAGAUGGGCUUGCGUCUGAUUAGCUAGUUGGUGGGGUAACGGCCUACCAAGGCGACGAUCAGUAGCCGGACUGAGAGGUUGAACGGCCACAUUGGGACUGAGAUACGGCCCAG